rnacentral:rRNA from 1 species
AGAGUUUGAUCCUGGCUCAGGACGAACGCUGGCGGUAUGCUUAAGACAUGCAAGUCGAACGAGCGAUGCUUUGCACUUGUGCAGAACAAAGCGAGUGGCGGACGGGUGAGUAACGCGUGAGCAACCUGCCUCUUUCAUCGGGAUACCAACUGGAAACGGUUGCUAAUACCGAAUAUGACCACAGUAUCGCAUGAUACAGGGGUGAAAGGGUUUACUGGAAAGAGAUGGGCUCGCGUCUGAUUAGCUUGUUGGCGGUGUAACGGACCACCAAGGCGAUGAUCAGUAGCCGACCUGAGAGGGUGAACGGCCACAUUGGGACUGAGAACGGCCCAGACUCCUACGGGAGGCAGCAGUCGGGAAUAUUGGGCAAUGGAGGAAACUCUGACCCAGCAAUACCGCGUGAAGGACGAAGGUUUUCGGAUUGUAAACUUCUGUUAUAAAGGAAGAAUAAAAUGACGGUACUUUAUAAGUAAGCCCCGGCAAACUAUGUGCCAGCAGCCGCGGUGAUACAUAGGGGGCGAGCGUUGUCCGGAAUGACUGGGUGUAAAGGGUGUGUAGGUGGCUUAUUAAGUUGGAAGUGAAAGCCCGGGGCUCAACCCCGGAACUGCUUUCAAAACUGGUUGGCUUGAGUGUGGGAGAGGUUAGUGGAACUCCUAGUGUAGCGGUGGAAUGCGUAGAUAUUAGGAAGAACAUCAGAGGCGAAGGCGACUAACUGGAACAUUACUGACACUGAAACACGAAAGCGUGGGGGAGCAAACAGGAUUAGAUACCCUGGUAGUCCACGCCCUAAACGAUGAGUA